CCACUGAAGCCUAGGGGAGCCAGUAAAGAUUAAAUGUGCUUUCUCAAAGGCAGCCACUUCAUGCUGCUAUGUCGAAAGGGCCAUUAUUAUUAUUUUUUUAAUACUAAAAGAAAAAGGGAGAGAGGUUGAGAGAGAGAGAGAGAGAGAGAGAGAGAAAGGAGAGAGAGAGAGAGAGAGAGAGAGAGAGAGAGAGAGAGAAGCUAGGUAUGAUGAUGACGGACUAGCUUUUCUGAGAGGAAAAGGAAAAGGGAAGGGAGAGAAAAAGGAGAGACCCUGAGCUGAACGGAGGAUUGUGCAUGAGAAGAACCUACAGAGGUGAGAAAAAAAAAAAAAAAGUUGGCUGGGGGGGGGGGGGGGGGGGGGGGGGGGAGUGGGUGCUAAACAGACCCUGUACAGAGGGAAAAGAGACAUAAUUUAGCUGUCUUGCUGGCAUGAUUCUAUUUUUCAAAAGUGGGGGAGGGGAGAGCCUGGAGCUCUAACUGUUCCUAGUUCCAUACGGAAAUAUAUUAAAAAAUAUUUAGCAUUUUUACAAAGUGCCGGAAUCCCCCCUCCAGUGUCUUCCUUGCUAUGGUUGCUUUGUCAUUCUCUUUGACUAGCCAGCCAUCUACUUUGUUCAGGCCUGGAAUAAAAGAAAAUUAAAAAAAAAAGAGAGAGGAAAAAAAUUUUUAAAAAAGAGUCAUCUUCCCAACCGCUUUCCCUCCCUCCGGUUUCAUUUUUGGAGGCCCUGGCACAAGGGCACAGCUUCCGCCCAUGAGAUGGGGGGAAACGACCGUCAGGUACAGAACCAGUCCCUGUCUGCGAAGAUGGAGGGGAAUUAUGCUUCGAAUUCCUCUGAAAUUUUGGCCAAAAGCUUCAAAGGAUCCGCAGCGGGAGGUGGGGGGCUGUGUUUCCUAGCUUGCACCCACCCCUUCCCACUUCCCGGCUACCAAAUGACAGCCUGGUGCUCGCUCUUGGUGAUUUGGCCUUGGUUUCAGCCGAGCAGCUGAUGCAGAGGAGGGCCCGGCUUGCAGGGCUGGCAAAGUGCACACUAAAGAAAGAAGAAAUAAAAAAGAAAGAAAGAAAGAAUGGGGGGGGGGGAAGUCCAGCUCUAGGGAGGUUUCUCUCUCUCUUCUUUUUCUUUAAAAAAAAUUUUUUUAACUGAAUAUUUUCCAAAUUCGAUCAGCCCCAGCCCCUCCCUCCAUUCCCAGCCAACUGCCUUUUUUUUUUCUCUCUCGUGAAAACAUAAACUACAGAGUUACAGUCUCUAGAUUUGGUGUAUCGCUUCCUGCCCCCGCCUCCCCCUCCCCGCCCCACUCUCUGUCCUCUAUUGAAACACCUCGCCCAGCCUAGCGCACUGCGAGCUCACAUUCUCCCCCUUGCCCGGGAUGGUGCUGCUGGAGGCUGUGCAGCACGGCUCCGCUUCAAACGGGUGAGUUCAAAACGCUCUGCGUAUGAAUACUUUCAUAGCCCCGGAUCCUCCUCCUCUGCCUUCCCCUUCCGAAAACCCCAUUUCUAUGAUUUUGCAUGUGGCAUGCUUGCCUUGGGGGAAGGAGAGGCUUCAUAUUUUCUUCUCAGUCAUUUGUGCUAGCUGUAACUUAAAUCUUUGAAUAUACAGUUACUGCUGAUUGUAGAUCACGGUUUUAAAAACACAGGCAUUUCUGGGUCUGUUUAUAUUAUUUUCCAUUUUAGUAAACUGUUUUGCCCAAAGCUUGAAAGAGUUUUCUCUGAUACACUCACAAUUUUAUGCUCAGGUAUGUAUAUGCGCCCCCAAUACUGCGUAAGCGUGGAUAUGUAUAGAUUGUAACUAAAUGGAAUCUUAAUUUUAUAAGGAAGGAAGCUUAGAGAGUUGAUGACAUACCGUGCCACCUGUUUGUUGCAUUUUAGUCAUGACCCUCGAACAAAAUUGCCUGCUAUUCUUGUUUUGCUUUGUUUUGUCUCAAGAAAGGAAAAUUUGCUGCGCUCCUCUCAGUCCCUGAGACCCUAACUUGUGAUGUUUACCGUUUAAAUCCACGGGUUAGGCUCUUGGGAGCUGCGAGUCGUGCCUGCGCAUCCUGGAAAUUUGGUGGAACUUUUUUUCUUUAAAGCAAAAACAAAAGAAAAGAAAGUUUGUCUGAAGUAACUGAGUACACCUCUGAGGUUUUCAUUGUUAGCUGGCAUCAGGUGACCAGAGAGUGGCAGCUCUUGGAUUUCUGUUAUAAAGUAGGUAUAUACUCUGUUGCAAUCGCGUGUUGGUUGCUAUGUCUGUAUAUUAUUGAUGCCUGAGGCUUGUGGAACUCAUCUGCACGGUGUAUUCCUUGAGAGCAACACGCAGUACUAUCCGAGCGUAACAAGAUCAGCUCAGUACCUGGUGCUUGACCUCAGAACAUCUCAGCUGAAGUCCCAGCAUGCCCCGUGCCUCCAACUUUUAAACUCAACAGUUAAUCUCAAAAUUGUGCCCAUUUACAAAGGGCAUGUGAAUAUAUUAUAUAUGCGAUGUCCACACAUGUGUUUCAUAUAUGGUAGAGAGUGGCCACACUGACACAGAUAGGGAUGAAGCAGUAGUUUGGGCUACAAUAUUAAUAGGUUAAAAAUUAUACUCUUGCUGUUCUACACAAAGAGUGGAAUUUAUGGUAUUACUAAAGAUGAAAUUUGUAUUACUUUGCAAUAUUUUUUUAAAAAAAUAAAAAGGAUAUUGCCUCCUCGCGUGGUACCUUAAAAAAAAAAAACGUUAUACUUGAUUAAUUUAAUAGUGAUAGAGAUUGGAAAUAUAUUUUCUAAAUACAUGAACUGAAGGAAGAGACAACAGCAGCACACAUAAUAAUUAUUGUAUUCUUUAGAAGUAAUCAAUGACUAUUAUUCUUCAUUUAAGAACUGAAAAAUAUUUUAUCUGGAUUUAAUUUCAAUCCAACAGUUAUUUAUGACAUAAAACUGUACAUUUAAAAUUACUCUCUCAUAAGGCAAUUGUUAGCCUUACCUUUUCUAUAGUUUUCUGGAGCUGUAACUUUUUAUAUCAGAAUAAUUUCAGUGAUUUAGUUCUGUCUCAUGGUUGGGAAAGGGAACAUUAACUUACCUUUCCUUUGUUGUGAAAAAUUCCGGUAUACAAUUUCCUUUAAGCAAUUUUAGUAUUCUCAAGCCAACCUUUCUCUUCCGUUUUUGGAAAAUACCUAAAUCAACCCUGACUUUAAAUACUUUCUUCUUCUAAAGACUUUAUAUAGGUUGUAAUCUCAUUUUAUACAUGAAGUUGAAGGUUAAGGAAAAUGUUCUUUUCUUAAAAGAUUUUUUUAAAAGCGAUUGUUGCAGUUUUAGUCAUUGAGUCCAAAUCACAGUCAAGAAACCAUUUUGUAUCAGAAAACUGAAUUCAGAAGAACUGUGCAACAAUUGCAACAUGCCUUUUGUUGAAACCUCUUGUGCAGCUGUAAUAUUUAAAUAUUACUUUCCAGCCUUUGGUAGUUCAGAAUAUGCUUCAAAGAAAAGAGUUACUUGAUUUUUGAGUCAUCUUCCAUUUUUAUGAAAUGGAUCAGUGAUUUCCCCCCAUCUUAGAUAAUGUGCAUGCAUAGGUAUUUGGAAAUAUGACAAGGCAUCUAUUUUACUUAUAGAUAUAUAUUACCACAUGAUUCAUAUGUAAUGUUUGCAAAACAUUUGGUGCUUUUUGAAGUCAAAUUACAUCUGUAGUUUUUUAUUCUAUGAAAAUAUGGGCACAGAUCAAUAAAAAUAUGCUAGAUGUAAUACUGAUUUCAAAUGAUAACAGGGUAGUAAUUUAAUACAAGUGUUUCAGCUGGUAUUCCAAGGCACUCCUUUGGUCUUUUACAUGUUUUCAAGUGGAUUGCUCAUGUUCCAAGGUUGCUAUCGUACAACUGAUCACCCAGGCAUUUAGGAGUGCAUACAACACACAAGAUUUUAUAUUUCAGCAGGCAACUGCAAGGGCAGGUUUCUCAACACCCCUUCUUCCUCACCAAGCCCAUCAGUGAAGUUCAGUGAAAUGAAUAACAUAAUUGGUGGUUGGUUCAAUCACUACCAGUCUAGACUAGCCCAGACGCAUCAAUUAGAGGGGGCUGUCUUUUAAAGGGAGAGUGCAACCGAAACAAGCAGGGCAUUAUUGAUACUGAUCUUUAAAAGUGCAAAUCCAGCUUGGCAGAUAAAAAAAAAAAAAUAAGGCGGGGAAUUGGGGUGGGGGUGCUUUGGGGGAAGAAAAGAGAACGAAGUGAACUGGAGCCUUCGGACACAGAAGGACAGGAAGCUUGAGAGAAAAGGAGGGAUAAUGAGUGGAAUGAAUUGCAGCACCUCCUGGAACACAGUUACAGUUCAGUUCACAGGGCAUACUGGCUCGCCAUAUUUUUAACUAGACGCACCUCCCCCCCCCACCCCCAGCACACACACCACCACCACCUCUUUUUUUAAAAAUUUCUCUUUUUGCCUCUGUUUCCAAAGAAAUGCCAGCUUGAAACCAAUGCAGUUGGAAAUUUAACAGCUUUGGGAAGCUCAGUGAGAAUAAAGCCAAGAAAUAUGAACUAGCCCAAACCCCUUUUGCAACAUUUUUCCCCAAAAGAAAAACACAGAGUAUGUUUAUUUUCAAGUUUUUAAUCCUUCUUACCUUUUUAAAAACUAAAGUGUACUAGUGAACAGUACUCAUUUUAAAUCUAGCACCUGGGAAUGAAGUUUAUAGGCAAGACACCUUUAUGGAAAAAGCUUAUGGUUUUCCACUGAAUGCAAUAAAUUUAUGAAGAAUAUAACAAAAGGCUUUGGUGGUUUGAUAGUUUCCCCCCCCCCCCACUUGGAAAAAAAAAAAGACAGAUGAUUUAGAAAGUGUUAGGAACACAUCAAGCCCCAGGGAAAGAAAAUGUUUGAUUGGUAUUAAUUAAAACACUGCUAAUAUAUUCUAAUAAAAUCAAACUUAACAUUCUAAACUAAUCCGCUUGGUAUGUCAAAGAAAAAGAAAAGUAUUAUCUUAUUUGCAUCUCUGCAAUCCAAAUGCAUUUGCUCAUUCAGCAGAAUUAAUUUUUAUCACCAGCCUGUUUAAUCUCUUCACAGAUUUAGUCAAACUUAUUCUUUCAAACUAAAAAGGAUCAGGGUGGGGAAGGCAUGGAAGGUAUUGGGAAGACUAGUGACUGUAUUUAGAACUGGCUUUAUGCUUUACGAUGUUCUUUUCUCUUCCUUCGCUAUAAUGGGGUGUGGAGGAAAACCGUGAGACCGCCUUGAGGAUGAUGAAUGGUUCAUUUUUCCUCUUUCUCUCCUACUACCUGCCGGUUAUUUAAGAAUUUCAGUGGCUAGAUUAUGCGAGUGGCAUUUAUGUACGUGACUGGUGUUGGUCUGUUGAUUAAAUCUAAUUUUUUUGUAAUUUCACAAUCUAUUUUAUUGCAAAUUUUUAAUGAAAAAAAAGGGGGGGUGGGGGGCUCUUAAGCCAGAAACAAAUUGCCUCAGUUAUUUUUCAACUGUAGUUCUUCUAAGAGAAAGCGGAGAAGUGAAUGUAAAAUUGUAUUCAUUAAGAACUGAGUUCUUUGUUUCAUUUUUAAGUGAAAACUUCUCCAGGAAAAUUUCAUAUUUUUAUGCAGCAGCGAGUUGUAGUCUCUAUAUUCUCAAGCUCUCACAACUGAUAAACUUACCCCCAAAUGAUAUCUUAACCAAAAUGCUUCUCCUCUCAUUACUGUACCGUAAUUAUGAUAUUAUAUGCAAAUAUGUGCCUAAAACAAAAAAAUGGCUGGACCAGAUAGAUAUUGAGGACCACAUUUAUGUGUUUCCAAAAUAAGGAUUUCUGCAUACUACCCAGGAGAUGUAAGCUACCAAGUAAACUAGCGAUGUUGCUGCCUUUUUGCUCCAUUGCCUUUUCAAGUCUUCAACGUAAAAGAGCAAUCGCAGUUCGGUUUCACAUGUAUUGUUCUAUAAUCCAGGCAAUAAAUGCUAAUUAGUAAUGCUCAAGGAUCCGACCAUUCAGAGUAAUUAUCAUAAUUUACUUCUUCCUUGUUAAAGACAUUCCUUGCUGAUUUAAAAAAAAAUUAAAUCCUCCUUUUACAUUGCACUGCAGUGGAUAUGCACUAGAGAGAUGUCAAGGUAUAGUUAUAUCCUUGUGACUGCAUUCAAAGUCACCGACAUGUGCCUCUUAACUUAUUCCAAAUGGAAUUGCAACUUAAUUUCUGAAGCGAAAUUCAUGUAAAUGCAUAAAGUUUUGCAUGAGCACCAGGAAUGUAUGAUUUUAUUUUACAAACCCCAAGGCUCCUCCUUCCCCGCCCACCCCCUUUCUAAAACCACUUACAGAGCAGAACAAAGGAAACUGCUAACUAUAGAGGCAUCAUUAAGUGUGAACAGCAACAGUAUGAUAAAGUAUGUGAUGACAACAUAUUUCAUUGCACAAAAGUGCAGAUAAUUAAAUAAUUCAAUAGUAACCCUGACUAAUUAGCAGAAAGAUCUUUAAGGAGGAAUCAAGAAAAUGGAUCCAAUCAAGUUGAAUAAUAUGCUUCCUUCUCCAAGAUCAUAAAUAUAUUUUGGUUAUUUGAUGAUUGAUUCACACAGAAAGAUGAGGACAAAAGCCUGAUCCUCAAAGUGGAGCUUUGAUCUGGUGUCCUCUUUAGGACAAAUUAAUUGUAUGUUUUAAAAGAGCUCAACUGUUUUUUCUGUUUUCAAUCAAAGGUACAACAUGCCAUUUUAUUUCACUUUUGUCUCUUAUCCCUCAAUCUAAAAAAAUAAUCGAUCCUUUAUCUUAUCAUAUCAGGCCUCAGAAUCUAUAUGUAGCCUCUUCUGCAUUUUCCAGUGAGGUUCAUGUUUAAGUUCCUUAUUACUUGGGGCAAGUAUCAUGUGCACAGAAGGAACAGAAUAAAUAUUACAUAGGGUGGAGCCCUCCCCCUCUCCUUUAUCAAGGUGAUAUUCCCCGUGUUCAUUGUUCAUUUUAAGAGAGAGCUGCAGUUUUUACUUGAGGACUGUAAGCACAUUAGAGGAAUAAUUCCCUUUGGAUACUAUACAGAAGGAGCCACCUGCAAAAUGUUGAUGCUGUUAUUGAAGUCUCAAGUGGAAUCAGCUUUCAAAAAAUUAGAUAUUAGAUACAUCCGAUAUAAUUUGCAAUGUGUAAUUAUACUAAUGUGCAUAUAGUUGUGUGUUGCUUUACAUGUUGCCUACUUGAGUUUCUACCCCCACCCACCUCCCACCCUUGGGCAUUUCUCAUCAUCUGAAACAGUUCCUGAGGAGAAUGUUUUUCAAGUCAGCUUAUUCUUUUUAAAUUCCUCAUUAAUUGACAUAAGAAUAAAAGGACUCUACAGUCUGUGUUCUUGUGAGAGAAUGAAUGUGUGCAACCUCAAUGCUGGAAAUUAAUGAUCUCUAAAAGGGUUAUCACUGUGGACACCUGCAUUAUUUGUGAAAUAUUUGCUAUUCUUUAUUGAUUUGGUCUUCAUCCUGAGUUUGGACAACUUGAAGUAAUGGAGGAUAUUAGAAUAGUAAAUCUUAUUCGUAAGAAAUCCAUUUCCUUUGUUGGAAUAAUGAGAUAAAAUGCCAAGAAAAUGGCCUCGGGCAGAGAAAAUAAUUUUAAUUUAAUCAAAGUAAUCAAAAUAAUAACGAUAAUAAACAAUUCUUUUUAUUUUCUUUUUCUUCCAUUUUCCAUGCCACAAGAUGAGUAACUGAAACUCUGCUUUAGGUCACUUAUGCACUAACAUCAACUUCCCUUUUGGGGUCUCAACAUGACACCAGAGAGCUACUUAUGGCUCAACUGGAGAGGCCCCCUCCAAGAAUCUGACCCCUGAAGAUUUACCUAUUAAGGAAAAAAGCCCAGGCAAAGCCACAUUGAGUUGGUUGGUCAGCCUGGCACUUGACAUUUACCAUAUGCUCGGUAGGUGAAGAGUUUCUUAAUGCAAAUUCAAAGAAUCAUUACCAUUGGAUUGCAGAAGGAUCCUGAGCAAGAUGAUAUAAGAGUCCCAUUUCAUGUCAUGCAUUCAGGAGACAAAAGGAUUUCAAAGGAGCCUCUUGUUGAGGUGAUACAGGUUAUUACUCCAAUUAAGUAGGCACAGAGCCUGAAUAAAGCUGAUUUAUAAGAUAUCUAAAUCAUAAUAGACCGCUAAAUAUGGUCUUUCACAUAUUUAUACUGUUUAUUCCUCAAAAUUAAUUUUGAUAAUGGAGUCUAUAUUAUAUGAGACAUUUUGCAUGUGCUAUCUCUAUAUAACACCAAAGCAAUACCUUGUUUUACUUUCUACCUGCUCAUAUAUUCAAGGUCUUUCCAUUAUUGACCAUUCAAAUGAGUCACAAAAAUAUUGUAUGCAAGUCCUUCCUUAAUAAAUAGCAUUUUAAUUUGUUCACAAAUGUGUAUCAAAAGCUUAGCACCCCAUCCUUUCUGACAAUGUUCACAAAAUAAUAAAUUUUAAAAUCUUCUAAGAUGUGUAGCGACUUACUUACCCAGGAUCAGUUACUUAUGGUUGGUUAGAACAGUAGAAUACCUAUUCACAAUAUUUACCCCUAAGUUAUCUAUAUUUUUUGGAAUAAAACAAUAUUGUUCCUGCCAUCUAGAGAACCUCAGUAUGCUCAAAGGAUUUAGGGGAGAGAGCAGUGAUGGGUCAUGAUAUAUCCAUUUUGGUGCAUCUCUAUUUGUGGGAGCAUAAAGAAGAGGCUGGCAGUAAAGACUUUGGUUAAAUCAAAAUCCAUUGGCAAAAUAUAUUUCAUUCACCAUAAGUUUUGCAGAAUAAAAGAAGCAUUAACGCAACUCUUCUCAAAUAUCCUCAUCUGUAAAAUGAGUGAGGUGGAUUAGUCAGGCUCUACAUUCUUUGACAGCUCUAAGAAUUUUUGAGGCUAUUCUCUAGUACGUGGCAUAGGAACAAGCUCAGGACCUGUAAAUCCAGAGUCUAUUGUACCAACGGUUGCCCUUCUAAAGUUAUAUUUGAUUCCGCCUCCGGGGUCUGAAUCUACUAACAUAUUUUGCCUUCAUGCUAAAGCAGUAAAGACUGGAGUUCAUUUUCAGGAAGGGGCAGUGACAGAAAAGAGCAACAGCUGAGGAAUGAAACAAGCUGCACAGUGGGAGAAGCAAUUCUUGAUCUGAGUUCUAAGCUCAUUUCCUUCAACAUGAAUGCAGAAGAAAUUCAGACAAGCACCUGCCUUUCUGUAGUAAAGCCCUAUUCUUUAGUGCUUCUGUUUUCAUGUAAUUACUUGUAGUGUGGUUUGUUGGAUUGAUGCCUUUGAGUUUCACAUUCCCCCUUUCCCUCGAUUCAUUGGAAUCAAAGCCUACAGCAGUUGCAUCAACACACCACACUUCCCAAAUUAAACCUUGACAUGUUCAAAACCACCUGGAAAUUACUCCACCCUGUUUUCUAAAAACACUCAGAUUGUGGAGUGUCUUCUUGAAUACUAUGAAUCUGCUUCCCCCAGCUUUCACGGCUUCAAUAAAUUUACACCCUGCUUCUCUUUUCUGCACAUGCUGUCCCUCUGCCUCAAGAUUUGAGGAACCUUUCUUUCUUCCUUCCCUUCUUUCUCUCUUUUCUGCUCUUUCAGUGCUGUGUGCCACAUUCUGUGCCAGGCACUGGAAAUACCAAGACAAAUACAAGGGACUCACAGUUAACACCUGACAGUCUAGUGACUUCAUUCACUCCUACAUUACUGUGCAGUUAUCUACCCACAACUAGUUUAUCUUGCCUUUAGUUCUUGGAUUUAUUUCAAUGUGUCCUCAGUGUCCUGUGGCCUUUUGUUCUUUUCCUGUGUGUCCUACUUCAACAACUUCCUAUUGAAUUAAACCUGAAGCUUUUCUUACAGCGUAUCCCCCAGAGUGAUUGGAGUGCUACUCUUGCACACACACAGGUGAUGCCACUGCUUGACUGAUUCUUGAGCAAGCUGAACAAUGAAUGGGAGUUCUGUUUUUUCUGGUGAUGCAAGCAAGCAUCUCAGCUGUAGUUAGAAAUAGCAUGCUCCCCAAAGUAUCAUUUAUUCAUUUUUAUUAAAGAGUCAAUGUGAUAACUUUGUGUGACAUGUUCUAUUAUUUUUUUAGUUUUGUCGAUGUUCCUUUCAGCUGAUCCUAUAGCCCCCCUCCUCAGGAAUGUCUCCCCAGUGAAAGGACAAAGACUGCAGAGACUGCUAUAUUGAUGGAACCUCACGUCAACUGUGAAGUUGAGACAAAGAAAAUGUCCACCUGAAGACAUCUCUCCUGUCCAGCAGUACACCCAAAUGUGCAGUUUCGGCCAAUAGAACCCUCAGAAUAAGAGCAAUCUUUCCAAGAAACAGAAAAACCCAGUACUGACAUCUAGAUCUCUGAUGAGCCAAGAACUUUCCCUUCCUUGUGUGUAUUCCUCUGUUUGUAUUUUAAUUCAUGUGACAUUCAUUUUUUUUCCUACUAUGGACAUGAUUGUUAAUGCACUAGUACUAGAAUCUGAAUGGGCACAAAUGUGCUAAUGUCCUAAAGAACAAAAUCAAUACAAUAAGGAGAAUGAUGUUUAGCCACAAGUAGUUUCUUCUUCAGAGCAACCAGAAAAUUGAAAAGUACCUUAGAAAUAGCAAGGCAGGCAUGGGCAAGUUGAAGGAUCAAAUAACAGAAAAGAUUCAUAGGGCAGCAUAGAAAUACCACACUGUUUCACCUGACACCAACCCACCAACCAUUAUUUUUAGGACAAAAGCUCUGUUCUAUGAGAUCUGGUCCCUGCUUGUAAGAAGCUUCAAUCUAGUUAGGCAAAGUUACAUAAACUUUUGAAGAGAGGAGAAACAGGUUGGGUCAGAGGAUGAUAAGAGCCAAAGUAGAACAAAAGAUGUAGAUAAUGAGCUCAAAGAAGAUUACCACGAGAUGAGUGGACCGACCUUUUGGGGAAGAAAACUCCCCAAAGAGGAAAAUGUGAGAUGAAUUUUGAAGGACUCAAAAAUUUAGAAAAAUUGAAAGUUAGGAGAAAACAGAGACUUGUAGUUUGACAUGACACUAUGAGCAAAGCCGAGAAAGAGGAAAUUCGGAUAUAUGGUGUAGUUAGGAGAUGAUGACUUCACCCCAGACAUUCAGCACUUGUCCCUGUGUAUUUGAUAAAGUGUGUACACACACCUCCCCUCUCCAACCUCAGGCAUCACCUAGAAUUAUAAUUGAAUUUCUUUUCUGUUAAAGCAAGUGAGGGUAAUUGGUGAUAAUAUGGAGAAUUCAUGAUUUUUCUGUUAAUAACAAUUGGUAUUUACUAAGUUCUCACUGUAUGUUAAGCAUUUUCCAUAUAAACUCAAACAACUAUGCAAAUUAGAUACUGUUAUCCCCAUUUUACAGGCAACAAAACAGGUUAAAUGAGGUGAUAGAACUUGCCAAGGUGUUAGGUAAGGAGGCUCACAAUCAGAAUUCUGAUUGCAAAGCUCAUGAUCUCAAGCACGAAGUCACAAUAUUGUGAUCAAUGUCAACAGGAUCACCAUUUUUUAAUAUUACUUGAUAGUUGUCUAUCAACAAAUAGUUGUGGGUUUUUUAAGUUAGCACUUCAACUUUUUCAGCUUUAGGAUUUUUAGUAAUCAUAAAACACAUUCUAUCACUCUAGUUACACUAGAGUUACAGUAGAGUUACAUUAGAGUAAUAGAAUGUUGUACAAAAUUGGGAGAGUAGACCUUGAAGAAUUUUAGACAUUUCUCUUUUUUUCCUCUUUUCUUUCUUUUUUUGGGGGGGGCAAAUUUUGAUGAGAUUUUCUACUUUGUUCUGUAAGAAAUCACAAAUAUUUUUUUAAAAAGAGGAGGGGCUUAAUCACUUAUCACAGUAUCUUUUUUUUAUAGGCAAGAUAAAUCUAAAGUUUAGAGUGACUUACAGAAGGUCACAUAGUGAGUGUGGCAGAGCAAGGAACAGAAACCAGGCCCUCCAGUCCACUCUCAAUGCUCUUGAACUACUACUCCAUCCUACCUAAAUGAAGCACAACCUUGAAUUUGAUUAAAGGAAACUCUAUCUAGGUAAUCAGGGAGCAUUGAACUUAGUAGGCUGCUUCAAUUCUGCGCCUCUUUGGCAUCCCUCAGUGUGAAAUGUAGCUAGCUCUGCAUAUAACAUUAGACCCAUAAAUGGCCAACAUCCAUUCCCAAAGAACACACAGUGGCCAAAAUUUGUACAAUAUCUUCAAUGAUAUCCUCAAGUUAUUUGGAAUGCUCAGUUCACCUGCAAAGAUCAAAUCUUCUGAUAACCAUCUUCUUUACCAAUUUUAGGCACAGUAUACAUUAGUAAGUACUUUUGCAUGAAUGUUUAUACAUGACUAUUUCAAUAGUACUUACGUUUUUUAAAAUAUCUAGUCACUUGUUAUUAUAAUUCUCACUCAUUCAUGAAACUACCUCAAGAAUACCUUGACCAAAAAAAGCUAGAACUGAGGAGUAUCUCUUCUUUACCAGCUCCUUUGCAUUCAGUUGGCAUCUAGGAAUGCUUACUGAAGUGAUCCUCUGGAUAACAUAGAGGUUUGAACUGCAAAUGUGCCUUGAAGGAGUCAGUUAAGCUGGAUCUACUGAGGAGCAGAAGUCUGAAUGUUUGGAAGUGCCUCAAUAUUUGCCUGUGGUAAAUUUUCACUUAGGUAUCUGUCCUGUCACAUUGCAUUCUUCUCAUGGCUCUGGUCAUUCUGUUUUCAAAAUGAUGACUGUUGGCCAUAUCUUACACUGAGAGGUCAUAAAUAAACAGGGUUUUUAAUAAAAGGGGAGCCAAGCACAAGGCAUGAGUUUGUUGACAUUUUAUGAGAUUCUGUCCUAUGUCCCUAAUUCCCAAUAAAAUAAAUAUUGCAUCAACUCUGAACUUGUGUUGAUUUCUUGG
rnacentral:lncRNA from 1 species